GACGAACGCUGGCGGCGUGCUUAACACAUGCAAGUCGAACGGAGAGGCCCUGCUUUUGUGGGGUGCUCGAGUGGCGAACGGGUGAGUAACACGUGAGUAACCUGCCCUUGACUUUGGGAUAACUUCAGGUAACUGGGUCUAAUACCGUAUAGGAGCUCCUGCUGCAUGGUGGGGGUUGGAAAGUUUCGGCGGUUGGGGAUGGACUCGCGGCUUAUCAGCUUGUUGGUGGGGUAGUGGCUUACCAAGGCUUUGACGGGUAGCCGGCCUGAGAGGGUGACCGGCCACAUUGGGACUGAGAGACGGACCAGAAUCCUACGGGAGGCAGCAGUGGGGAAUAUUGCACAAUGGGAGGAAGCCUGAUGCAGAAAAGCCGCGUGCGGGAUGACGGCCUUCGGGUUGUAAACCGAUUUCGAAUGUGAAGAAGAGUGAGUGACGGUAAUGGGUAAAGAAGCACCGGCUAACUACGUG
rnacentral:rRNA from 1 species